AUUGAACGCUGGCGGCAGGCCUAACACAUGCAAGUCGAGCGGAGCGGCGGACGGGUGAGUAAUGACUAGGAAUCUGCCUGGUCGUGGGGGAUAAGGUACGGAAACGGGCGCUAAUACCGCAUACUAUCAGAUGAGCCUAGGUGGGAUUAGCUAGUUGGUGGGGUAAAGGCCUACCAAGGCGACGACCCGUAACUGGUCUGAGAGGAUGAUCAGUCACACUGGAACUGAGACACGGUCAAGACGCCUAGGGGAGGCAGCAGUGGGGAAUAUUGGACAAUGGGCGAAAGCCUGAUCCAGCCAUGCCGCGUGUGUGAAGAAGGUCUUAGGAUUGUAAAGCACUUUAAGUUGGGAGGCGUUACCAGCAGAAGAAGCACCGGCUAACUUCGUGCCAGCAGCCGCGGUAAUUC
rnacentral:rRNA from 1 species